rnacentral:rRNA from 1 species
CCUACGGGAGGCAGCAGUCGAGAAUCAUUCACAAUGGGGGAAACCCUGAUGGUGCGACGCCGCGUGGGGGAAUGAAGGUCUUCGGAUUGUAAACCCCUGUCAUGUGGGAGCAAAUUAAAAAGAUAGUACCACAAGAGGAAGAGACGGCUAACUCUGUGACAGCAGCCGCGGUAAUACAGAGGUCUCACUCGUUGUUCGGAAUCACUGGGCGUAAAGCGUGCGUAGGCUGUAUCGUAAGUCGUGUGUGAAAGGCGCGGGCUCAACCCGCGGACGGCACAUGAUCCUGCGAGACUAGAGUACGGGAGGGGGAACCGGAAUUCUUGGUGGAGCAGUGAAAUGCGUAGAUA